UCCUUUAUUCGACGAUUUCUUCAAUGGACAGAAUUAUUAGAUCCUACAAAUGUGUUCAUUUCAGUUGAAAGUAUAGAAAACUCGAGGCAACUAUUGUGCACAAAUCAAGAUGCUUCCAGCCCUGCCUCGGCGGACCAAAGGGCAACAGUGCAUCCCGACAGCAGCAACCUGAUCCCCAAGCUUUUUCGACCUGCAGCGUUCCUGCCUUUCAUGGCGCCCACGGUAUUCUUGUCAAUGACGCCACUAAAAGGGAUCAAGUCCGUGAUUUUACCUCAGGU
rnacentral:sRNA from 1 species